GACGAACGCUGGCGGCGUGCUUAACACAUGCAAGUCGAACGGAAAGGCCCUGCUUUUGUGGGGUGCUCGAGUGGCGAACGGGUGAGUAACACGUGAGUAACCUGCCCUUGACUUUGGGAUAACUUCAGGAAACUGGGGCUAAUACCGGAUAGGAGCUCCUGCUGCAUGGUGGGGGUUGGAAAGUUUCGGCGGUUGGGGAUGGACUCGCGGCUUAUCAGCUUGUUGGUGGGGUAGUGGCUUACCAAGGCUUUGACGGGUAGCCGGCCUGAGAGGGUGACCGGCCACAUUGGACUGAGAUACGGCCCAGACUCCUACGGGAGGCAGCAGUGGGGAAUAUUGCACAAUGGGCGGAAGCCUGAUGCAGCAACGCCGCGUGCGGGAUGACGGCCUUCGGGUUGUAAACCGCUUUCGCCUGUGACGAAGCGUGAGUGACGGUAAUGGGUAAAGAAGCACCGGCUAACUACAUG
rnacentral:rRNA from 1 species